rnacentral:lncRNA from 1 species
GAUGAGCAUGACUGGCCACAGCUACAGCAUCUACAAUGCCAUCUAUGUUGUGGCACAUGCUCUACAUGCCAUGUUCCAAUACUGGUCGAAGGACAGAGGAAUUGUGAGAAGAUGGAGACCGCAGCUUCAGAAAUUGCAGCCUUGGCAGGUAAUGGCUCUCUUUUUAAAAAAUUAUUAUUUCAUUUUAUAUUGUUGAUAAAGCAAAGACAACAAUUUUAACAACAGACAAAAAUUGAAAGAAGAAUACCCAAACUGUAAAAUAGGCAGGUAGGAUGUGUAGUUGCACGUGAGUUAAAUAAAGACUUUAAAGUCCAAAUUAAGUCCAAUUUUAUCAGAUCAGCAAGCAUAGUUCCAGAUUUGCCACGUUUGUGGGGGGUUGUUUUGAAAACGUUGGUUCUGCUGUAUAUGCCAAAUCAUAUAAAACGUGUCUAGUCCUUGUCAAAAAUCUCAAAUUAUUUGUGAUUAUCUUUGUUAUAGCUAUAUUCCAGAGUGAGUGGUACAAAGUGUCCAGCAUAAGAUUUUUGGGCUGUGUUCUAUUGAGUUGCAAUUACUAUGAAUGCUGCCAGUUUAAUCUUGCCAAUUCUUUUGGCAAUAUAUUUAAAAUGGUAUAAUCAGGAAUACACAGUGACAUUCAUUUUGGACAACAAAGCAUCUUUUUAUAGUAAUAUUUAUCAUUUCUGAGAAAAUCGGAUACAACCCACUCACCUGAGCUUCAGGUCUUCAAAACAGCUAGGUGUGAUAUUGUCAAUGGCAAUUUCUAUCUCAACUAGAGUCUUAAGAGGGACACCUGUUUUGCCUCUUCCUCCCUCAGUCUAACCCUCUCCCUAUUUUCCUGUUCUUUCAUUUAUACCCUUUCUGCAUUGAACUUCAUGGAUGUUUGCAUGAUGAUUUUAAGCUUUGAAAUACAUAUACAGUGUGGCUUAGUCCUAUACAGAGGAAUCUACAGAGGAAAGAGAGAUCAAAAUUUACAGUUAUUAUUGCUAUAGUUAUUAUUUUGUGAUUAUAUGAAAUCUUGUCUACUGCCUUGGAAGAGGCAAUGGCAACUUAAAAGGUGAUGCUGAACAUAAGAUAAGUUUGAGUUUUAAACAAUUGUCCUUUUCCUGCCAUCUCAAUGCAGCUCCACCCAUUUCUUAGGAGUGUCUCAUUUAACAACAGUGCGGGAGAAGAAGUGUCUUUUAGUGAGAACAGGGAAUCAGAAGCUGGGUUCGAUAUUACCAACUUGGUCACUUUCUCAAAUAACUCCUUCAUCAGAAUGAAGGUUGGAUGGAUGAAUUUGGAUGCUCCCCCAGGAAAAGAAUUUUCCAUCAAUGAAGACAAAAUGGUGUGGCACAGGAGUUUUCAGCAGGUGGGGCUUGAUUUCAGCAAAUUGCAACUCCAGUGUGUCCUAAAUGUGAUGCUUGCAUCUUUGAAGCCUAGCUGAGACAUGGAUCAUGUAUUUUUUAUCACUUGCUGUUUAUGAAAACCUCUAUGAAUAUCAUGAGGCUCUGAUGCCCUGAAGGAGGCCAGGACAUAGUUCAUUAUUAUAUGCUUGUUUGUUUAUUGCAUUUUUAGUCCACCUUUCCUUUGCUUACAUCCCAUUUUAUCCUAACAACCAACAACCCUGUAAGGUAGUGUAGACUGAGAGCAGCAGUGACUGGUCCAAGGUCACCCAAUGAGUUUCAUUUGAACCCUGGUCUUCCACUUCCCUGUCUAGCACAUUCUUUAAAGAUUUGUAGGCCAGCAGAGUGUGACCGAAGCCUAACCUCCAACCAACUUCUUUGGGAAGAAAGAAAAGGGAGCUGAGCCUGGAGACAGACGAGGCAGACUUCUGUAGAGAAUGCCUGGUUUGGAGGCUAGUAAUUCUCAAGAUAUAGUAGCAAAAGUCUGGCAGAGUCCAGCACUAUCCUUGUUUUUGAGGCUGCUUAAGUUGUGGAAUGUGCGUGGUGCUGUGGUCUAUACUACAGAGCCUAGGGCUGGCUGAUCAGAAGGUUGGCAGUUCGAAUCCCAGUGACAGGGUGAGCUCCCAUUGCUCUGUCCCUGCUCCUGCCAACCUAGCAGCUCAAAAGCAUGUCAAAGUGCAAGUAGAUAAAUAGGUACUGCUCCAGCGGGAAGUUAAACAGCGUUUCCAUGUGCUGCUUUGGUUUGCCAGAAGCGGCUUAGUCAUGCUGGCCACAUGACCCGGAAGCUGUACGCCGGCUCCCUCGGCCAAUAAAGCAAGAUGAGCGCCGCAACCCCAGAGUCCCAGAGUCAUCCAUGACUGGACAUAACAGUCAGGGGUCCCUUUACCCUAACCUGUGUUGGCCCAGUGCAUUUAGUCUGGGGUUCUCAGUCCCCAACAUUUGUGUUUCUUCAGCUGGAAAAACUGAAAGAACCUGAAAGUGUAUACAGUAGCUGCUUAUUUAAAUCACUUAGGAUGUCAAAACAUCCUUUCAACUCUACUUUAAAACUUUUUGAAUUUUAUAAGAAAUGUAUUUUUCCAAAUAAUAGUAUUACUGUUCAGGUGAACUCCCUCCCUCCCUUUGAUUUUAAAAAACACACACAUUGAAAUGGCCAUAACUUCAUUUUCAAAGUCACAAAAACAUCUUCUGUCGCAUUAGAUGCCAUUAAUGGCUGUUCACAGCUCAUUGUUUACAAAAUUCUCUUAAUAUUCAGCAGGCCAUUUCUCCCAUCCACUUGAUCCCUUGCAGCCCAGAAAAUGGUGUUCAGAUUCUCCAAAGGUCCAUUAUUCCCCCUGUGCUAAACAUUUCCUUAUGAUUAAUUAAAAUUCACAGGUGCCACCCCUCUCUCAAUGCAACAAAAAUUGCCCUUCUGGUACUAGGAGAAAAAAGAAGGAAGGGGAGAAAUUCUGCUGCUAUGACUGUGCUCCAUGUUCAGAAGGCAAGGUUUCAUACCAGAAAGGUAGGAGACAUUAGGUAGCUUUCAGAUAACCCAGAUUUCCUGUGAAGGGUCUGUGGCAGUGUGAAAGGUGUCACAGUUGCUGCUAUUGAUGUAGUUCUGAUAUCUAUGGUCAUUGAAGUUCACAGACUUGGAGCUCUUCAUUGCAACCAGGUGAUGGCCCAGCAACGAGGCCCAGCAUUUUCAAAGAGGUGCUUUGCAAGCCCAAAUGAUCAGAUGGUGGUUGGGGUUUACAAAGCACAGUUACCUGCCCUUCACCUAACAUCAGAGAUGACAUCAGAUACAGGGCCGGUAGGUGUAACUUGCUAAAAUGGCCCCAUGGGCCAGAGGUUUUCUAUCACUGGAUUACCUGGGUGGUGAUGGAGAUGAGUUGCAGCAGUGCACCUGCAAAGCACAGGCCUCCUGCUGUCCAGACACACCCCCUUACUGUCCAGGCAAGCGACUGAGAUCAUUGUCUGGGGGAGGGGGGUUCAAAGCCCUUUCUCCCCAUGCUAGUCACUCCUGUGUCUGAAAAGGAUUGUCUCUUCCACAUCCAACUGGUAAGUCCCAUACUGCCAGGAUGCAUACCUACUCACAAGUUGCACCCUUAAAGGGAAUCCUUUCUUCUUUUCAGACAUGAAUGACUGUGUCGGAUGCUCAGAAGAUCACUAUCCAAACAGGAACCAAACACAAUGCAUUCCAAAGUCCAUCAGCUUCUUGACUUUGGAAGAACCUCUUGGGAUGAGCUUAGCUUUUGGCUCUGUAUUCUCCUCUUUGCUGACCAUCUUGUCCCUCGCCAUCUUUAUGAAGCAUCAGGACACACCGAUUGUCAGGGCCAAUAAUCGGGACCUCACCUACGUUCUCCUCCUGUCUCUCCUUCUCUGUUUUCUCUGUCCCCUCAUCUUCCUCAGCCGACCAGACAGAGUGACCUGCCUUGUCCGACAAAUGGCUUUUGGUGUGGUUUUCACAGUGACUGUUUCUUGUGUGUUGGCCAAAACCAUUACCGUUGUUCUGGCAUUCAUGGCCACCAAACCAGGAUCCAGAAUGAGGAAAUGGGUGGGGAAAAGACUGGCAAGCGCCAUUGUGUUGACUUGUACUAUUAUCCAAGCUGGUAUUUGCACUGUGUGGCUGGGAACCUCUCCCCCAUUUCCCCAUUUUGACAAGCAUUCUGUGACGGGAGAAAUUAUUCUGGAAUGUAAUGAAGGGUCAGCUGCCAUGUUUUACUGUGUCCUGGGCUACAUGGGCCUCCUGGCCACUGUCAGUUUUGUUGUAGCAUUUUUAGCCAGGAAACUGCCUGACAGCUUUAAUGAGGCCAAAUUCAUCACCUUCAGCAUGUUAUUAUUUUGUAGUGUUUGGAUCUCCUUUGUUCCGGUCUACCUGAGCUCCAAGGGAAAACACAUGGUGGCUGUGGAGAUCUUCUCCAUCUUGGUCUCCAGUGCUGGUUUACUGGGUUCCAUCUUUUUCCCCAAAUGCUACAUUAUCAUAUUGAGGCCUGAUCUGAAUGACAAACAGCAGUUAAUAAAGAAGAAAUAGCAAAGUACCCUGUUGUCACUCUUUUCUGUUACCCCAGAACAUGGGUAAUGAAUUUCCUGCUGACUCCUUGAUAUAAUUUCAUUUUAUUUGUUUAUUGAACUCGCUAUGUGCAUAAAAAAUUAUCAGAUGGUUCUCCCCCACCCCGAGAUGUGGUCCCCACCUUUCGGAGCCGAAGGGCACAAUUGGAAAACUGAGGAACUCUUGUGGACACAAAAAAACACCAAUUUCACAGAAGAAAGUGUGGAGAUGCCCAGAAACUCCACCUCCAUCCUUUCUUGUAACUUGAAUCCAUUGGUUUGGGUCCUACUCUCUGUAGCAAGAGACAAGCUUGCUGCAUCUUCCAUCUGACAGCCCUUGAGGUAUUUGAAGAUGUGUAUCAUAUCUCCUCUCGGUCUCCUUUUUCCAGGCUAAACAUACCCAGCUCCCUCAACUGUUGCUCAUAAGGCUUGGUUUCCCACCCAUCAUCUUCCUGGCUGCCCUCCUGUACACAUGUUCAGCACACAUUUUACCUCAUGAAAAUAUAAUGGGGGACUUUGCCAAAAGCCUGACUGAACUCAAAAUAGACUAUGACCACAGCAUUCUCCUGAUCCACCACAUUUGUAAUGCCAUAAAAAAGAAAAGAAAUGAGAUUGGUCUGGUUUGACAACAACAGGCCCAGGACAGAACCCUUUGGCACAUCUAUGCUAUGAGGAGAAAAUGAAAAGGAGGGAAAUACCCCUCUUCCCAGAGAGAGUGAGAGAUGCCACAUAUACCUAUUCUGAACUCAGAAGUGUGCAUGCAGCUCUCUGUGUGUAUGAAGCAGUACUUGAAGAAGAGCCAGGAAAUAAAUUCCCUACCUCAUGUUUUGUUUUAAAUUUUGCCGCAAAGCAGCAGACCUCCCUUACAGGCCUGUGGUCUGAAGUCUAAUGCUGCAUCCUUGGAAUCAGAGAGUCAGGGCCGAGCUCACAAUCCCCUUUGUGUCUCAAACUCUGUUCUUGAAUGCACUUUCCUCUUCACAAAGCAGCAUGUGAGAAAAGAAGGUUUAGCUGAAAUCACAAGGGUAGUCAUUGCCCGGGCACAGUUUUUUCCAGGGCAUGUUUUGCUCCUCACACCACCCAUGCCAGCCCGGUUCUGCUUUGCAAGUCCGAUCCCACAUCCCAGCCCCUCAAAGCAGUGUGGGGCUGGCAGGGCGUCAGGAUGAUGUAAUGGGCCUGUGCCCUUCCUGCUGCAUCCUCCUCAUGUCACCCGCCCAGCUUGUCACGGAUGCUUUAGUUGUGAUCCCUGCAUUCCAGGGGGUCGAGCUUGAUGACCUUUGGGGGCUCCUUUCAAUUCUACCUUUUUCUGUUUAUUUAGGCGAAUAUAUAUAGGGGCCCUAAAAAGGCCUGCAGACAGGGCCCAACGGACCAUAUGUCCAUCAUCACAGCCAUGCCUUGAAGUCACUCAGAGUCUGCUCACAAUUGUUCCUUUCCAGCCAAAUUCUACCAGUGGCAGGAUUCAUCUUGGCCCCAUGGGUUUACCUGCCCCAUGCCUGGCCUCACAUAACAUCAGCUGAUGGACAUGUGAAUGUGGUUUGGACCAUGAGCCCAAUGGAGAAACUUGGUUGGCCUAACUGCUGCAGGUCAGAGGUCCUUGUUGAUUCCCCGCAAGGAGCUUUCUCUACCUGUGUAGAUUCUCUUGAGUGACUGACAACGUUUAGGGUUCUGGAUUGUGUAAGAAAGUACAGUAAGUAGAGAAAGCUGCAGAGGCCCUCUUCUGAGAACACAGUAGGUGAUGAAACUGGCAGCAGGGAUGCAAUGAAGGGGAAGGGGUAACAGGCUUAUUCCUGCUCCCCCCUCAUUAAAAUGCCUUGAAAACACUUGAAGGAGGCUGCUGAGGGAUUAUUCUGUGUGGAUCAUUGUCUCUGCUACUUCCAAUGGACCAGCUGAGGCAAAGGGAACAAUAUUCUCUCCCCGGUUAUUAUCAAUUACAUGGUAAUAAUCUGCUUCUGAUUAGACCUCCAUAGACUUCCAGGAAUCCAGUCUACAAAGAAUUAAAACCCUCUCUGCCAUCCCCAGCAAAUGCUAAGGUGCUGCUGACUCGUUUAGUGAGCUUUCCCCUGGAGUUGGAUCCUAGGUCUUGGGAAUUUAGCUGGUGCAUUCGGAGAGUGCCAUUGAAGGCAAGCUGCUGUACUGAGGUUGUUUCUAAUGCCAAUGCUGAGUAGAUGUAAACAGGGAAAUCUCUGUCUAGGAAAGUGCAUUGUUCCUAGUAUGGCAGUGUUGAUGCUGUUAAUCUUCUCGCUGAAUCAAAUGGUGAAUCUGUCAUAUGUCAGUAGGAGCAUCAGUCACCUCCAUAUUCCACACAAGUACUAUCAGCCAGGUGACCUUAUCAUUGGUGCACUUGCUUCUCACAUCGUGUCCUCUGUUGACUAUGAAACCUUCAUACAAUGGCCAUCCAUCCAUCAGAUUCUGAAUUCAUUGUAAGUAUUGCAAAUUUGCAAUUCCCAUGUCAUAUUAAUUCCUAAGUUACCAUGUGGGCUCAGAAAUACAUACUAUUUAUUUUCGCUAUGGGGAUUUAUAACUUAUAGGGAGGGGUGCAAAAUAUCCCCCCACCGAACAUAGGAUCAAUCUUAAACUUAACCCUCCCCACCACCUGAAUUUUAACAUCUAAAAUGAUCAAGACAGACAAUAAAUUUUUCGUCAAGCCUGUAGGAAAGAUGUGAAUUGUCUAGGAUCCAGCGUGGAAGCAAAGAAAGAGCAGUCUUCCAGUGAGAUAUGACAUUAUGUUCUGGGUGGUGUGUUUCUCUCUCACCCCCAAGCUCCUGCACCCCACUUUCCAGAGCAGUGCUUAAGGGAGAGGAGGAGCCAUAACCACAACCAGUCACAUAGGUGUCAUAAUCUAGAGAGCCCAGCAUUCUGAUGUCAAGUGGAAAUGGGUGAAUGGCCAGUAGGAACCAUUGGUCUACCUAUUACAUGCCUGUCUACACAGAGUAGCAGUGGCUCUCCAGGAUUUCAGACAGGGGUCUGCCCCAGCCCCACCUGUGUGCUAAGCAGAUGCUCUACCAUUGGGUUUUACAGAAGCUUCAAAGAAAAUGUACACAGAGUAAUUGUGAAAACAUUACAGGCAACAGAAGGUUGCCUGGUAUUAGGGGCAAUAGCUUCAUUGAUGCAUGGGAAACUGAGGUGGGGUUCCAGAAACCUGCAAAAGGGCAACAAACUACAAGAAGGACGCAGCUGGAGAGAAUGAUUCCUAGUUUCAGUUGUCUCUACUGAAAGGCACAGGGUAUGGGAAACAAGCAAGAUGAAUUGGAGCUUUUAAUACAGGAUGGCAAAUAAGACAUAUGACCUAGAAGGCGAGUAGGCAUUGCCUCAGGGUUCAAGAUUUCUUUAACAGAUUGGAGAAUUGGGUUAACAAAAUGAAUUUCAAUAGGGACAAAUGUAAGGUUCUGCACUUAGGCAGCAAGUACCAACUUCACAAAUGUAAGUUGAAGGACACCUGGCUUACUAGGAUCUCGCCAUCUUAGUGGAAUUCAAGCUUCACUUGAGUGAACAGUGUGGUGCAGUUUUUGCUGUAUGUGUAUUUAAAACAAAUUCUUUAUUGGUUUAAUUAAAUCUGCCUGUAAGCUGCCUUGUUGCUCCCUAGCACAGAAAGACAUGGAACCUAAGUUUCUUUAAACAGAUUGACCAAAAAUGGUACACAGCAAAACGCUUUGAUGUCCAACUCUCAUUGCAGUGUUGUACCAAAAUACUAUCAGCAAAUUCUGGCCUUGGUGUUUGCAGUCAAGGAAAUCAACAAGAAUUCCAAUAUAUUACCUAAUGUCACAUUAGGAUUCCACAUCUUUGAUAGUUACUUCAGUGAAAGGAUGACCUACUGGGCCACUUUGGAGCUGCUCUCUACACACUACAGAUUCGUACCCAACUACCAGUGUGACAAACAGAAAAAUCUGAUGGCCGUCAUUGGGGGACUUGACUUUGAGGUUUCCCUCCACAUGGCAGCCAUCUUAGGUGUCUACAAGAUUCCCCAGGUAAGAGUCAAACAUGGUGACUCAUUCUUCUUUCCUCUGUCCUGUUGAGAAAAGUUUUGCAUUCCAUCAUAGCCCUCUUGACAAUUUCAAAUUGUAUUCAAUAAAAGCUUUCAUCCGUCUUCAUCCAUUUCCCAACGUGUGCAUGUUAUUCAGAGGGUAUGAAUGGAACAUUUUGCAGAUGCAGUUGAACACACCUAGUCUAUGUAUGCGAACAGCUUGGUCUGCUGGCCUCAGGUAGACUCCAACCAGGAUGAAUUGCAGAGGCUGCUCAUCAGUCGCUUGCACAUUACCUUAAUUAAUUUGACCUGGGCAGUUGGGGGCUGUCACUGGUGCUGUCAACAGCUCACUGGUUAUCUACUGAGUGAAAUCAGAGGACGCAGAGAGAGCUUUUCAAUGGUUUCAUUUUAAUCCACAGGAAGACAGAAAGACGUGAAAGUAUGCUCUCACCCUUGAGCUAAUAUUGCUCAGAUUGCAACUCCACCAUGCACCGACAAUUUCUUCCUAGAAAUCAGACCCCUCCUGCUGCCUAUGGUGGCUGCUAAGAACAAUUCUCUUUUGGGUUCUGCUCUGAGACACACAGAACACAUCUGGUCCUUUGGGAAGGAGGGGGCUGUGACAAAUUCUUCAGUGACAGCAUGUCACUUGGCUGCUGUACUGUUUCUAAGAAAUCUGACUCAUGUCUUUGUUCAUUGCCACCUUGCUCUGGUUCAUCAUCACUUAUUAUUUCCCAGGUGCUUUUUCCUUCUCAGGUGUGACCUGUCUCAAACCACCACACCAUACUCUCCCCCCUUCCUUCUUUCUGGAAGGUUCUUAGGGUGCUGCUCUCCACCACUCCUCCUCAUCUGCCCAUUCCCUGACGGGCUUACUAAGACAGCAGGUCCAAAGCACAAUGGUUUUGUCAUUGCAAUCCACACACAACCAAUGUUUCUACUGCAUUAAUGGGAAUUAAGUAUCCAUUUCCUUCUAGCUCACUUAUGGCCCCUUUGCCCCAGAGGAUGCUGGUCAAAGCCAAUCCACUCCCUUCUACCGGAUGGUGCCCAAUGAAGCCCAUCAGUACACUGGGAUUGUUGAGUUACUUCUGCACUUUGGAUGGACGUGGGUUGGGUUGCUCGCUGCGGAUAGUGAGAGUGGAGAGAAAUUUAUGGAAAUCCUGCAAACUCUGCUUUUCCAGAGAGGCAUUUGCUUGGCCUUUUCAGAGAGAACUCCAAAAGGCACAUAUUUUGAAGAGUAUUAUGACAGGAUCUCCCAGUGGCUCCAAGCCUAUCAUGCUAUUGCGGAAAGCAAAGCCAAUGCUGUCAUUGUCUAUGGAGAAGCCAAGUCCAUGGGUUUUUUGCAACUAUGGCUAGCGGCAGGGGGUGCAGAAAAUGUGACAUCUAUGGAGAAGGUAUGGAUUAUGACUGCUCAACUGGAUUUCUCAGCAGUGGCCUUUCAAAUGAGCCAGAGUAUGCAACCAUUUCAUGGCUCCAUCUGCUUCACAGUGCACUCAAAGGAGGUGCAAGGAUUCAAGACCCUUCUUCGCUCCCUCAAUCCUUUCAUGGCAGGUGAAGAUGGUUUUCUUCAGCAGUUCUGGCUGCAGACAUUCUAUUGUUUCUUUUCAAAAUCCAGUACUGAGUUCAGUGAACCCUGCACUGGACAGGAGAAGCUGGACAGCCUCCCCUCGUCUGGCUUUGAGAUGAGCAUGACUGGCCACAGCUACAGCAUCUACAAUGCUGUCUAUGUUCUGGCACAUGCCCUACAUGAUGCCAUGUACAGAUCCAGGGCAAAAGACAGAGGAAUUGUGAGAAGAUGGAGACCGCAGCUCCAGAAAUUGCAGCCUUGGCAGGUAAUGGCUCUUUUUUUUUGGUAUAUCUUUUAAUUAUUAUUUCAUUUUAUAUUGUUGAUAAAGCAAAGAUAACGCAAUUUUAACAACAGACAAAAAUUGAAAGAUAAAUACCCAAACUGAAAAAUAGGCAGGUAGGAUGUGUAGUUGCACGUGAGUUAAAUAAAGACUUUAAAGUCCAAAUUAAGUCCAAUUGUAUCAGAUCACCAAGCAUAGUUCUAGAUUUGCCAGGUUUUGGGGGAGGGGGUUGUUUUGAAAACGUUGGUUCUGCUGUAUAUGCCAAAUCAUAUAAAACGUGUCUAGUCCUUGUCAAAAUCUCAAAUUAUUUGUUUGCUAUAGCUAUAUUCCAGAGUGAGUGGUACAAAGUGUCCAGCAUCAGAAUUUUGGGCUGUGUUCUAUUGAGUUGCCAUUACUAUGAAUGCUGCCACUUUAAUCUUGCCAAUUUUUUUGGCAACAUAUUUACAAUGGUAUCAUCAGAAAUACACAGUGACAUUCAUUUUGGACAACAAACCAUCUUUUUAUAGUAAUAUUUAUCAUUUCUGAGAAAAUCGGAUACAACCCACUCACCUGAGCUUCAGCUCUUCAAAACAGCUAGGUGUGAUAUUGCCAAUGGCAAUUUCUAUCUCAACUAGAGUCUUAACAGAAACACCUGUUUUGCCUGUUCCUCCCUCAGUCUUACCCUCCCCCCAUUUUUCUGUUCUUUCAUUUAUACCCUUUCUGCAUUGAACUUCAUGGAUGUUUGCAUGAUGAUUUUGGAAGUCCCGUUUAAGCUUUGAAAUACAUAUACAGUGUGGCUUAGUCCUAUACGGAGGAAUCUACAGAGGAAAGAGAGAUCAAAAUUUACAGUUAUUAUUGCUAUUGUUAUUAAUUUGUGAUUAUAUGAAAUCUUGUCUACUGCCAUGGAAGAGGCAAUGGCACUUUAAAAGGCGAUGCUGAACAUAAGAUAAGGUUGAGUUUUAAACAAUUUUCCUUUUCCUGCCAUCUCAAUGCAGCUCCACCCAUUUCUUAGGAGUGUCUCAUUUAACAACAGUGCGGGAGAAGAAGUGUCUUUUAGUGAGAACAGGGAAUCAGAAGCUGGGUUCGAUAUUACCAACUUGGUCACUUUCCCAAAUAACUCCUUCAUCAGAAUGAAGGUUGGAUGGAUGAAUUUGGAUGCUCCCCCAGGAAAAGAGUUUUCCAUCAAUGAAGACAAAAUGGUGUGGCACAGGAGUUUUCAGCAGGUGGGGCAUGAUUUCAGAAAAUUGCAACUCCAGUGUGUCCUAAAUGUGAUGUUUGCAUCUUGGAAGCCUAGCGGAGACGUGGAUCCUGUAUUUUUUCUCUCUUGUUGUUUAUGAAAACCUCUAUGAAUGUUGUGGGGCUCUAAUGCCUUGAAGCAGGCCAGGACAUAGUUCAUUAUUAUAUGCUUGUUUGUUUAUUGCAUUUUUAGUUCACCUUUCCUUUGCUUGCUUCCCAUUUUAUCCUAACAACCAACAACCCUGUAAGGUAGUGUAGACUGAGAGCAGCAGUGACUGGUCCAAGGUCACCCAAUGAGUUUCAUGGCCAAGUGGGGAUUUGAAUCCUGGUCUUCCACUUCCCUGUCUAGCACAUUCUUUAAAGAUUUCUAGGCCAGCAGAGUGUGACCUAAGCCUAACCUCCAACCAACAUCUCUGGGGAGAAAGAAAAGGGAGCUGAGCCUGGAGACAGACGAGGCAGACUUCUGCAGAGAAUGCCUGGUUUGGAGGCUAGUAAUUCUCAAGUUAUAGUAGCAGAAGUCUGGCAGAGUCCAGCACUAUCCUUGUUUUUGAGGCUGCUUAAGUUGUGGAAUGUGUGUGGCGCUGUUGCCUAAACCACAGAGCCUAGGGCUGGCCGAUCAGAAGGUUGGUGGUUCGAAUCCCAGUGACAGGGUGAGCUCCCAUUGUUCGGUCCCUGCUCCUGCCAACCUAGCAGUUCAAAAGCAUGCCAAAGUGCAAGUAGAUAAAUAGGUACUGCUCCAGCGGGAAGGUAAACAGCAUUUCCAAGCGUUGCUUUGGUUUGCCAGAAACGGCUUAGUCAUGCUGGCCACAUGACCCAGAAGCUGUAUGCCGGCUCCCUCGGCAAUUUCUCCCAUCCACUUGAUCCCUUGCACCCCAGAAAAUGGUGUUCAGAUUCUCCAAAGGUCCAUUAUUCCCCCUGUGCUAAACAUUUCCUUACGGUUAAUUAAAAUUCACAGGUGCCACCCCUCUCUCAAUGCAACAAAAAUUGUCCUUCUGGUACUAGGAGAAAAAAGAAGGAAGGGGAGAAAUUCUGCUGCUAUGACUGUGCUCCAUGUUCAGAAGGCAAGAUUUCAUACCAGAAAGGUAGGAGACAUUAGGUAGCUUUCAGAUAACUCAGAUUUCCUGUGAAGGGUCUGUGGCAGAGUGAAAGGUGUCACAGUUGCUGCUAUUGAUGUAGUUUUGAUUUCCAUGGUGAUUGAAGUUCACAGACUUGGAGCUCUUCAUUGCAACCAGCUGAUGGCCCAGCAUCGGGGCCAAACAUUUUCAAAAAGGCGCUUUGCAAGCCCAAAUGAUCAGAUGAUGGUUGGGGUUUACAAAGCACACUGUUACCUGCCCUACACCUAACAUCAGAGAUGACAUCAGAUAUAGGGCCAGUAGGUGUAACUUGCUAAAAUGGCCCCAUGGGUCAGAGGUUUUCUAACUGGAUUACCUGGGUGGUGAUGGAGAUGAGUUGCAGCAGUGCACCUGCAAAGCACAGGCCUCCUGCUGUCCAGACCCACCCCCUUACUGUCCAGGCAAGAGACUGUGAGAUCAUUGUCUGGGGGAGGGGGGUCCAAAGCUCUUUCUCCCCAUGCUAGUCACUCCUGUGUCUGAAAAGGAUUGUCUCUUGCACAUCCAACUGGUAAGUCCCAUACUGCCAGGAGGAUGCAUACCUACUCUCAAGUUACACCCUUAAAGGGAAUCCUUUCUUCUUUUCAGACAUGAAUGACUGUGUCGGAUGCUCAGAAGAUCACUAUCCAAACAGGAACCAAACACAAUGCAUUCCAAAGUCCAUCAGCUUCUUGACUUUGGAAGAACCGCUUGGGAUGAGCUUAGCUUUUGGCUCCGUAUUCUCCUCUUUGCUCACCAUCUUGUCCCUCGCCAUCUUUAUGAAGCAUCAGGACACACCGAUUGUCAGGGCCAAUAAUCGGGACCUCACCUACGUUCUCCUCCUGUCUCUCCUUCUCUGUUUUCUCUGUCCCCUCAUCUUCCUCAGCCGACCAGACAGAGUGACCUGCCUUGUCCGACAAAUGGCUUUUGGUAUGGUUUUCACAGUGACUGUUUCUUGUGUGUUGGCCAAAACCAUUACCGUUGUUCUGGCAUUCAUGGCCACCAAACCAGGAUCCAGAAUGAGGAAAUGGGUGGGGAAAAGACUGGCAAGCGCCAUUGUGUUGACAUGUACUAUUGUCCAAGCUGGUAUUUGCACUGUGUGGCUGGGAACUUCUCCCCCAUUUCCCCAUUUUGACAAGCAUUCUGUGACAGGAGAAAUUAUUCUGGAAUGUAAUGAAGGGUCAGCUGCCAUGUUUUACUGUGUCCUGGGCUACAUGGGCCUCCUGGCCAUUGUCAGUUUUGUUGUAGCAUUUUUAGCCAGGAAACUGCCUGACAGCUUUAAUGAGGCCAAAUUCAUCACCUUCAGCAUGUUGUUGUUUUGUAGUGUUUGGAUCUCCUUUGUUCCGGUUUACCUGAGCACCAAGGGAAAACACAUGGUGGCUGUGGAGAUCUUCUCCAUCUUGGUCUCCAGUGCUGGUUUACUGGGUUCCAUCUUUUUCCCCAAAUGCUACAUUAUCAUAUUGAGGCCUGAUCUGAAUGACAAACA